rnacentral:rRNA from 1 species
GGAGGGGGCGAGCGUUAUUCGGAAUUAUUGGGCGUAAAGGGCAGGUAGGCGGCUUUGUGUGUCCUCUGUGAAAGCCCUCGGCUCAACCGAGGAAUUGCAGGGGAAACUGCAGAGCUUGAGUCCGGGAGAGGCUAGUGGAAUUCCCAGUGUAGCGGUGAAAUGCGUAGAUAUUGGGAGGAACACCAGUGGCGAAGGCGGCUAGCUGGACCGGUACUGACGCUGAUCUGCGAAAGCUAGGGGAGCAAACGGGGGAUUAGAUACCCCGGUAGUCCUGGCUGUAAACGCUGAGCACUUGGUGUGGCGGGUACCGACCCCCUGCCGUGCCGGAGCUAACGCAUUAAGUGCUCCGCCUGGGGAUACGGUCGCAAGGCUG